UGAUACAAUAACCCUAAAUAUCUGUUCUGUAUCACGUUAUUUUUUGUUAAACUAAGUAGUUUGUGGUGUUAACAAUGCAUUGAAUUAAAUCAUAAAAAUUAAUCGAACAGUUGACAAAUAUUUGGUGUUUUAGUUACCUUCGAUAGCAGCUCGAAAUAUUUAUCGAGUCGUGUUUGAGAAAUUUAAGUGUUGUUAUAGACUAUUUUGAAUAGAAAUCUGCAAAUUAUCGAUUUAUGAUGAUUUUAACAAGACUGCAAUCUGGGAUGUUAUUUAUAAAAAGUAUAGAGACAAGAAAAACACGAGUGCUUCUGUGAAGACUUUGCAAAAAACUCCAGGAACGGAAUAUCUUCAAUGGUUGCAUAUAAUCCCUAUGGAAGAUUGUUGGAGUGCCCAAUGAAGCUUGUACAUUUUUUACAUGACCUUAAAAGGAAUACAUAUAUCACUUCGUUUUAUUUUCCUUGGUAUGUUGUACUUUGUGCUGGUUGUGCCACUUGAUUUAUGCAGAGCUGCCGUUAUAUUUCAAAAACAUGGGAUAUGGAGAAAUGAAUCAAGACUUUUUCCUACAUUGGUAUAUCAGUUUUGGUCAAUUACCUUCCAUUAUUGUCAUGCGAGUUAUCACAGCACUAUCCUGAGCAAAGUUCCAAAGACAGUCUCCAAAAUAUCUGACAUACAAGAGUGGCAAAGUUGGAAUAAUGUUCAUUACGAAAACACAUUUUUGAAAACAGUUGUAAGACUUAGUAUAAAUGUAACUUAAAUGUAAAAUUAAAUAUAUUUUAU